rnacentral:rRNA from 1 species
UACAGAGGUCCCAAGCGUUGUUCGGAUUCACUGGGCGUAAAGGGUGCGUAGGUGGUCGGGUAAGUCUGAUGUGAAAUCUCCGAGCUCAACUCGGAAAUGGCAUUGGAUACUAUUCGGCUAGAGGGUUGGAGGGGGGACUGGAAUUCUCGGUGUAGCAGUGAAAUGCGUAGAUAUCGAGAGGAACACCAGUGGCGAAGGCGAGUCCCUGGACAACUCCUGACACUGAGGCACGAAAGCUAGGGGAGCAAACAGG